GACAUUAUAGUUUAAUAAUAAAACAAAGAAUUGCAAAUUCUUUAAUUUCAGUUUAAUUCUGAAUAAUGUCU
rnacentral:tRNA from 1 species